rnacentral:rRNA from 1 species
UACGUAGGGUGCAAGCGUUAAUCGGAAUUACUGGGCGUAAAGCGUGCGCAGGCGGUUGUGCAAGACCGAUGUGAAAUCCCCGGGCUUAACCUGGGAAUGGCAUUGGUGACUGCACGGCUAGAGUGUGUCAGAGGGGGGUAGAAUUCCACGUGUAGCAGUGAAAUGCGUAGAUAUGUGGAGGAACACCGAUGGCGAAGGCAGCCCCCUGGGAUGUGACUGACGCUCAUGUACGAAAGCGUGGGGAGCAAACAGG